rnacentral:rRNA from 1 species
GGCAGCAGUGGGGAAUUUUCCGCAAUGGGCGAAAGCCUGACGGAGCAACGCCGCGUGAGGGAGGAAGGUCUUUGGAUUGUAAACCUCUUUUCUCAAGGAAGAAGUUCUGACGGUACUUGAUGAAUCAGCCUCGGCUAACUCCGUGCCAUCAGCCCCGGCCAUACGGGGGAGGCAAGCGUUAUCCGGAAUGUUUGGCCGAUAAGUUGCCGCAGGUGGGCACGCAAGUGGGCAUGUAAAUCAGGGUGGUUAACGACCUACUGGCCGUGGAAACUGCCAUUGAUACUGAGUCUCUUGAGUAUCGUUAAUUUCCGCCGAAUGUGUGGAGUGCGGAUGAAAUGGAUAGAAUGACUCGGAACGCCAAUUGCUAAGGCGGCG